AUCUACAGCCAUACCACCCUGAAUGCACCUGAUCUUAUCUGAUCUCAGCUGCUAAGCAGGGUCAGGCCUGGUUAGCACUUGGAUAGGAGACCACCUGGGAAUACCCGGUGCUGUAGGCU
rnacentral:rRNA from 1 species